UGAGUCCAGAAAGUUUUGAAGGAAAAAUGCUAUUCCAUCAUCAUUAUGUUCAUAAUUGUUUAUUUUUUCAAUCAUAAAAUAAUAAUAAUAAAACCACAUCAACUUGCUAUCCCUAGCAUGUUCACAUAAGGGAGAGACCUGGCGGCUGAGGUGGGAUGCUGGGCAUAAAAUGAAGAUUCCUUGAACCUUGUCUGGGCUCCAUGGGUUCACAAAAUAAAAAAAUCCUUUAAGCAACAGUCACAAGCACCUGUCCUGGCUGGUUUUACAUCAUUUAUAACACAAGCUACAGUUAUCUGAAAGGAGGGAACCACAAGUGAGAAAAUGCCUCCCUAAGACCCAGUUGUAAGGCAUUUUCUUAAUUAAUGAUCAGCGGGGGAAGGCCCAGACCAUUGUGGGUGGUACCAUCCUGGUGUGGAAGGCUUUGUCUAUGGUUGCUUUUAUUGGUUAAUGAAUAAAGAAGCUAUUUUGACCAGUGGUUUAGCAGAAUAGAGCUAGGUGGGGAAAACUAAACUGAAUGUUGGGAGAAAGAAGGCAGAGUCAGAGAAAAGCCAUGUAGCCCGGCUGGAGACAGGUGCUGGAACUUUAUUCAAUAAGCCACAGCCUCAUGGCGAUACACAGAUUAAUGGAGAUGGGUUAAUUUAAGAUGAGUUACCCAGAAAUAUGCUUAAGCUAUUGGCCAAACAGUAUUGCAAAUAAUAUGGUUUAUGUGUGAUUAUUUCUGGACUGCGCAGCUGGGAACAAACAAGCGGCCUCCUACAAUACCAUCCCUAGGUGGCGGCCCUGGGUUCUAUAAGAAAGCAGACUGCUCAAGCCACUAGGAGCAAGCCAGCACCCCUUCACGGCUUCUGCAUCAGCUUCUGAUUCCAGGAUUUCUACUGCUGUGAAGAGACACCUUGACCAUGGGAACUCUUAUAAAAGAAAGCAUUUAGUUGGGAGGUUUACAAUUCAGACAUUUUAGUCUGUUAUCAUCAUGGUGGGACACAGCAGUGUGCAGACGGACGAGGUGCUGGCGACGGAGCUGAGAGUCCUACAUCUUGAUCUGCAAGAGGAGCAAAGGGGAACUUCCAUGCCAAUACUGCAGAGAAGGCAGGAAUGGUGGAUGGGAACCUGCAGGACACGGCUGGUGACAGUGACCUCAGAGACGAGCAUCCGGCAUCGGGAAAAGGGGCUUGAAGACAAGCACGGGACACGGAGAUUGUAGAGUGUAGAACCCUGCCCUGGGAAGAGGAAGGAAGAGAAAAUGACUGUGUGAUCCACAGGGAGACCAUGGCCAGCGUAGACACCAUCUGAAGUCCCCCAGACCUCCCUUGGCUCGAGGGAGCUUCAGGAUCCUUAAAAAGUAGUCAGAUCUCCACUAUGGCUGUUCACGUGAGAAUUUUCCAUUUUCUCACUUAGGCACUCAGAUCUUUAGGGAGACCUGGUCUGUGUGUGGGAGCCAAAUCAGGUACAGGAAAACUCAGAACAAGAACCUAGGUGUGGCUGAUCUGGUAGAAGCCUUCACUCACCCACCCAUAGCACAUAUUUUUUUGAGCACCUGCUGUAUGCUAGCUACCAUUCUAGGAUCCAACUGUAUACCAGACAAUGCCUUCCUUUCAGGCACUUGUAGCUGAUGAGAAAAGGAGACUAUAAAACCAAAUAGGAUAUAAUGUGAUAUUCCUGGGUCCUAGGAUAUGAAUAUGUUCAGCUUUAGCAAAUGCUCCUAAGAAAUUUUCUAAAGUAGCUAGCAGGAGGGUAGCUAGCUACUACACCCUCAACCAACAGUGUGUGAAGGUCCAUAUCCUUGCCAACACUUGGCAGUUUCUUUUUCAUUUUAGCCAUUGUUUUGUAUCAUAGUUUAAAUGAAGUCAUUUGUGAAGUUGAGCACAUUUUCAAUGAUUUGUUUUGUCUUCUCUUUGGGUUCCUCCCCUUUCUCUCCCCUUCUUUCCCUUUCUUCCCCACUGCCUCUCUCUUCUUCAUCUGCGAGCGGCUUACUCCAGUCCACACAUCCCGAAGUGGUUGCUUGAUUUCUUGAAGCCAGCCAGGGAAGCACAGAAAGCCAGUAUGGCUGGAGUAGAGGGAAGGAAAUAGGGGCCAGAGAAACGUGGAGGAGGAGCACAGGUUCUGUAUGAGGCACAAUGUGAGCUGCUUCCAGCCUCUGCUGCCUUCACACCGCUGCAUCUUGACCUACGCUGUUGGGAACCCUUAGGGAUUUUAAUAUUCCCCAAGUGACAGCAAUGACCUCUCUCUGUCUCUGGACUCUGUCUGGGACUCCUUCGUAUUGGCAGAAGGGUCACAAAAGGAUGGCGUGAAGUUGGAGCAGAUGGUGCAUCCGUCCGUUGCUGAACUCUCCUGGCAGCCCAGAGGAAGACUUGAGACUGAAGUUGAGCCAGCAAAUGAGGCAGCGGAGAGAAAGCAGGGACUGUACCACAGGCUGAGCUAGCUGGUGGCCCAGCACCUGGAGGAGCGGUGAUCUCAGCACAUCUGGAGAACUGCAUG